AUAAAAAAGACAAAAGGUCCUUGUCUUAGUAGAGCUUGCAUUCCAGCAGGAGGAGACAGAUAAUAAACAUAAAUGGAAAGUGAUAGAUGUUACAGAAAAAAGAAAAACAAUGUCAUAGUAUUAAAUGAGGGAGUCCAAGUAGGUCUCAUGGAAAAGAUAACAUUUAGUCAAAGACUUGAAGGAAGUGACAGAAUAAUCCAGAUUGUCUAGGGGAGAGCAUUCCAGGCAGAGGGUAAACCUGCUGCAAAGGCUCUGGACGGAGAACGCUUGGCAUGCUUGGGGAACAGCAAGGAGUGGCUGAAGUGGAGUGAGCAAGGAGAAGAGAAAAUGAAGUCAGAGAGGGGGUGGAGGAUAGUGAGGAAAAUAGAAAGCUCAUCAGAGAUCACAUCAGAGAUCACAAGAUUUAAAGGAAGGAUAAGAAGAGAAUGGUGGAAGAAUGCUCGGCUGAGGUGAAGAUAAGGGUAUUGGGCAAAUUCUUCCGGUUGGCUUCAAUAGUCUCCCAAACAGGUGACUUUCCUGCUACAGGGAAAGUGAAGGACUGAUACGAUGGAAGAUCAUUUUUGGAGCAGGUGCUGGGCUAGGCAGCAAAGAGGUGAGUAGAAUGAGGGGAAGGUUCUGUAAGUGUUUAGUAUCAUGAAUUUUCAACAGGCCAGAUUUUGCAGCAAGUUUUCUUCUAUAAGUUCAUAGUUGGAAGGAGAGAGAAAGCAUAAAGACCUAGCAUUGUUGGCUGGUGUGGGGAACGUCACGUAAUCACUAAUAAACAUUUAACACGGGGAGGUGGUCAUUGCAGAAUGAUGCCACAGACAGCACUGAGAUGCCAGGCAGAUGGCUCAGGUAAGGAGAGAACCUAAUACAACCUGUCAGGCCAAAGUUCUCAACUUGGCUGCCAGGAAAAUCACCUGGAUGAUUUUAAAGAGUACUGAAACCUGGGCCCCACCCGCAGUGAUUGUGAUUUCGUUGGUCUGGGAUGAGACCUGGAGCAUUAGCAUUUUUUUAAGUGCUCCAGUUCGAGAACCCCUGCAGUAAAGAGAUACAGGUCUGGGGAAAGCAGAAGGGGUUAAGUGGUUGAAGGUUCUACUGAGGAUAGAGUACAGGAUGAAAUAAAAAUGCUAUUUAUGGUCUCAGGCCUGACAAUUCCCAGGAAAAAGAAGAGUCUGACUUGACAUAAAAGAAAGUAUCUGUGUUUUAAGAUCCAAAUGUGAUCUCACCUAGUUUCCACUGGACAGACGUCACCAUUCCCUGACAGUCAUAAUUGGCACUGUGGUAGGCAGAUGGUUGACCGGGAAAGGAAAAGCUACAAGGCUUUCUUCUAGUCUUUAUUUUGAAAAGAAAGAUUCCCAUCCAAGCUGGGGCUUGGAGGGUCCUUUCUGAGACCCAGCGAGACUGAGCACAAGUGCAGAAGGGACGCAGGGUGCUCAGGAAGUCCCAUCAUGGGCCAGGCCCAAGGUCAGCCACCCCAGCAGAUCUCGAGAGACGUCUUGUGGGAGGGCUGGGACCAGCUCUCUGACCUCAGUUGUAAAAGUCAGGCAUGGCCCCGGUUUUCUUAGUAGCCAUUUAUGGCUCUCAUUCAUAAAUUUGGCUAAAGGGUUUUUGAAUUCAUUUACAUUUCCUGCCAGUCCCACCUUUUGGGACUAAUGAGUUCUACAAGUUUAUAACCUGCUGUGUGAAGUAGAUUUCCUUUCGCUAGCCCUAAACUUACUCGGCUCUGUUUUAAAGAGUGCCCUCCUUGUCCUGCGAAGAAAAAGUAAACAAUUAUACCAUGAGGACAGAUUGGCUGAAGUGAGUGGGGCAUAAAAAGAGCUAGGUGUUACAAGGAACUGCAGACUACCUUAAAUCCAUGGUAUGGUUUUAAAAGGCAAACAUGGCUGGAAUGCAUGGCCCAGAGGGGAGCCCAGUGUGCCACACUACAAUGGCUCCAUUGUUCUGAGUGCUGGGACCUUUUGGGGUCUAUGCAUCCUGUUUGGGGCUCCACUGUUCAAAUGAAAGAAAGAGCUUGAAUAUUUAGCAGACAUCAAGAAAACAGAUUAAAAACUGGAAGUGGAACCUGGAAGAAAAAUUUAGAUUUUUCAGAUUAGAGAAAAGAAAGUUAUUACACACAAAAAUAUCAAGGAAAUGUGUAAAAUGAAAAAUAGUUGUUCUACUUUGAAUUAAAGUACAAAGAGGAGUCAAAAUGGUGAUUUAGCUUUGCCGUAAGAAGGAACUUCCCGACACUAUUAUAUAUAAAAUCCAGUAAAGUCAGAAAACUAUGCAUUUUAAUUUUUUAAAAUGCAGUUUAAAAUUUUUUUAAUUAAAAUUAAAAAUUUUAAAAUCAUUCCCCAAAUGAUUUGGGGUUCAUCUUGUCUUUGUACAUGCCUCAAUGGAUUAUAAAGACAGCUAGAGAAGUUAUUUACACAAAGGAAUAUGGUAAUAUUGAACUAGGUGAAGGCAUGAAACAGAUGAGGAUAUAAGUAUCUUACAAAAGAAAGGAAUGUGUGAUCAAAAGUCAAUGUGUGCAAUUUUAAAAACUACAAGAAAACAGCAAAUAUUUUUGAAAGAUAUUAAUUUUAGUGGGCUGAAGAGUAGACUAAAGUAUCUGUUGCAUUUUUUCCUCCAAGGUCAUAGUAUAAAGUUGAUUAUAAAAAAGUCUUGUGUUUUAAUGGAAAAUAGGGCAAAGGUUAUGUGCAACAGGAAUCCAGUCAUGUGGAGCUUACAGAACGCAGGUUAGGCUCAUAAAACUGCUCAUUAAAAUGCUCUGUUCUGAAGCAAAAGCAAAUAAAUGAGCUCAGGGAAAAGAGCCACAGAAAUUGUCUAGAAAUAUUUCCAUGAAAGACUGUGAAAAUAGUCCUUCCAGUCAUAAGAAAUGUGCAGUUAUUGCUUAUACAAAUAGCCCACACUUAAAAGACUUUUAAAUACCUUCCCUGCAAUGCUGGUUUUGACCUUCUGCCAAAAGCUACUUAAUGUUUUUUUAAUUUUUUUUUUUAAUUUUUCUGAAUAGACUAUAUGAUGAGCAAAAAAUAAAAAGGCACACACACCCUAAGUUUUUAAAACAGCAUGAGAAGAACAGUUUUGUAAUCAACCCUCAUCCCAAAUUCUGGUUUAAAUUUAGAAAAUUUAUAAAUUAUACACUGGCUUCCAAUGUCAAUCCCAAAUUAUAGAAUUAAGGACCAAAAAAAAUCUUGAAGAUUUAUAGGGCUCCGAUUCUCUACACUUCACUAUCUUGCAGUACAGAAAACAUAGACUGAGGAAUUUAAAACUAAUAAUAGUAAUGGCUUGCUGGCAAAAUAAUGCACAGCAAGAGGACUUCUAAGAAGACUGUUAGCCUCAAAGCAAUUCAGACAGACCAUGCGUACACAACGGCUGGCUGGUCUGUAAGGCCGCAGGCCAAAAUCAACAUCAACAGCCAGCAGCGCCCAGCACUCAUGGAGGAAACUGCACAACUUGAUGCUGAUUGUGUGUGUGUGUGUGUGUGUGUGUGUGUGUGUUGGGGGGUGUCCAGACACCCAUCUGAUUUUGAAUGUAAAUUCAGUGAUGCCUACGCCAUGUCUGAGCUACCAGAGGGGCAACCUGGUGAAAUCUCACCAUGCCAAGUGAUUAACCGGAAUGAAGCCAGCUAAGAGAAAACAGACUGCUCCAGAAGGAAGCACAAGUAGUGAGUCAUGUGGUCUGAAUCCACACCCGACUACUCCGUCUGUGGCUCUUCCUUGCACCCUUUCCGUAGUUGCUGGAAUUGGGAUGAGGGACCCGGGAAGGAGUCAAUAUGAGCACGGACAUUUUGCCUGCUUUUUAUUUUUUUAAGAAGGGAUUAGCAAUGGCAAUAUUCUCUUUUCACUUCUACAGCGUAUUUUAUCUUAAGGAAAGCAGCCUGGAGCUGGCUUGUGAGAAGCAAUGAAUCAAACUGAGAGAGACUCCUUUGAAAAGCCAGGCUGGAGCGCAAGAGGCCUCCUGCCAGCGUAGACUCUGCUGCUUCAGGCCGGUUUUGUCCCUGUUGUUGCUGUUUCACUCUUUGUGGGGGAGGGAGCAGACAGACAGUCUUGCAGAGAUUUGGCUAAAAUAAAAAUACAGCGCAAUUUUACACGGCUAAACCGAAUCUCACAUCUGACGACAUGGCCUAGACAUUUGAUAGAUACAUCUUGGCAACAAUAGCUCAUCUCUUUAGCGUUAGCUGUAAAAGGAUAUUUCCUAAUUCAUCCAGCUCUAAACAAAAUAACCUGCUCUUCCUUUUCCCACUGGCCUUUAACAUGCCUUAUUCAGGAAUAAUGAUUUCUUUUGCUUAAGCAGAUUUUAAAAACAGCAUUGUUCUUUCCACAGUGGUAGUUUACGAUUUUACUUACACACAAAUACACACGCAUACGCACGCACAUUCUUGCACAAGUUAGCAAGAUUUAAAGCCUCUCAUUUUUUAUUCUUGAAGCCCUGAAAAGGAAACUAUUAUUCAUGUGCCAAAGAACAC